AGAGUUUGAUCAUGGCUCAGGAUGAACGCUAGCGGCAGGCCUAAUACAUGCAAGUCGAGGGGCAGCAUGGGUAGCAAUACCUGAUGGCGACCGGCAAACGGGUGCGGAACACGUACGCAACCUUCCUUCGAGCGGGGAAUAGCCCAGAGAAAUUUGGAUUAAUACCCCAUAAGAAUGUGGACUGGCAUCAGUCAGCAUUUAAAGAUUUAUCACUUGAAGAUGGGCGUGCGUCUGAUUAGAUAGUUGGUGAGGUAACGGCUCACCAAGUCAACGAUCAGUAACUGGCGUGAGAGCGCGAUCAGUCACACGGGCACUGAGACACGGGCCCGACUCCUACGGGAGGCAGCAGUAAGGAAUAUUGGUCAAUGGACGAAAGUCUGAACCAGCCAUGCCGCGUGGAGGAUGAAGGCCCUCUGGGUUGUAAACUUCUUUUAUUUGGGACGAAACACUUCUUUUCUAAGGAGCUUGACGGUACCAGAUGAAUAAGCACCGGCUAACUCCGUGCCAGCAGCCGCGGUAAUACGGAGGGUGCAAGCGUUAUCCGGAUUCACUGGGUUUAAAGGGUGCGUAGGCGGAUUUGUAAGUCCGUGGUGAAAUCUCUAAGCUUAACUUGGAAAUUGCCGUGGAUACUAUAAGUCUUGAAUAUUGUGGAGGUUAGCGGAAUAUGUCAUGUAGCGGUGAAAUGCAUAGAUAUGACAUAGAACACCAAUUGCGAAGGCAGCUGGCUACACAACUAUUGACGCUGAGGCACGAAAGCGUGGGGAUCAAACAGGAUUAGAUACCCUGGUAGUCCACGCCCUAAACGAUGAUUACUCGACAUUUGCGAUACACAGCAAGUGUCUGAGCGAAAGCAUUAAGUAAUCCACCUGGGAAGUACGACCGCAAGGUUGAAACUCAAAGGAAUUGACGG
rnacentral:rRNA from 1 species